rnacentral:misc_RNA from 1 species
AAACCAAUAAACCCCUCUGUGGGUUUGUACUGGGCUCCGCAUGUAUGUGCGAUGCCUCAAAGUCAUGGUCUAACCUAUGGACGAGCUCCUCUAGGACCUGCCAUGGGUUGGCCCCCCUCUGAAUA